rnacentral:rRNA from 1 species
UACGAAGGGGGGCUAGCGUUGCUCGGAAUGACUGGGCGUAAAGGGCGCGUAGGUGGCGGCCCAAGUCCAUAGUGAAAGCUCGAUGCUCAACAUCGAGUCGGCCACGGAUACUGGGUUGCUCGAGCACUGUAGGGGCAGAUGGAAUUCCGGGUGUAGCGGUGGAAUGCGUAGAGAUCCGGAAGAACACCGGUGGCGAAGGCGGUCUGCUGGGCAGUUGCUGACACUGAGGCGCGACAGCGUGGGGAGCAAACAGG